rnacentral:rRNA from 1 species
GUUGAAGGUUGGGUAACACUAACUGGAGGACCGAACCGACUAAUGUUGAAAAAUUAGCGGAUGACCUGUGGCUGGGGGUGAAAGGCCAAUCAAACCGGGAGAUAGCUGGUUCUCCCCGAAAGCUAUUUAGGUAGCGCCUCGUGAAUUCAUCUCCGGGGGUAGAGCACUGUUUCGGCUAGGGGGCCAUCCCGGCUUACCAACCCGAUGCAAACUGCGAAUACCGGAGAAUGUUAUCACGGGAGACACACGGCGGGUGCUAACGUCCGUCGUGAAGAGGGAAACAACCCAGACCGCCAGCUAAGGUCCCAAAGUCAUGGUUAAGUGGGAAACGAUGUGGGAAGGCCCAGACAGCCAGGAUGUUGGCUUAGAAGCAGCCAUCAUUUAAAGAAAGCGUAAUAGCUCACUGGUCGAGUCGGCCUGCGCGGAAGAUGUAACGGGGCUAAACCAUGCACCGAAGCUGCGGCAGCGAACGUAUCACCCAAGACAACUUUACGGAGUUGACGAUUGACGGAGCGAAGCGACGUCAAAGCGUUCAUUAAAGUCGAGUUGGCUUAGGGAUACGUUCGUUGGGUAGGGGAGCGUUCUGUAAGCCUGUGAAGGUGUGUCGUGAGGCAUGCUGGAGGU